rnacentral:rRNA from 1 species
CAAUAGCGUAUAUUAAAGUUGUUGCAGUUAAAACGCUCGUAGUCGGAUUUCGGGGCCUGCCUGCCGGUCUGCCGAUGGGUAUGCACUGGCAGGCGCGUCCUUCCUUCCGGAGACUGUCCCUACUCUUAACUGAGCGGGGUCGGGAGACGGAUCGUUUACUUUGAAAAAAUCAGAGUGUUUCAAGCAGGCAGCUCGCUCUUGCAUGGAUUAGCAUGGGAUAAUGAAAUAGGACUUUGGUGCUAUUUUGUUGGUUUCGAACACCGAAGUAAUGAUUAACAGGGACAGUCAGGGGCACUCGUAUUCCGCCGAGAGAGGUGAAAUUCUCAGACCAGCGGAAGACGAACCACUGCGAAAGCAUUUGCCAGGGAUGUUUNCACUG